rnacentral:tRNA from 1 species
GCCCGGGUGGCGGAAUGGUAUACGCGAAGGACUUAAAAUCCUUUGCCCUAAAGGCUUGUGGGUUCGAGUCCCACCCCGGGCA